rnacentral:rRNA from 1 species
UACGUAGGGCGCAAGCGUUGUCCGGAAUUAUUGGGCGUAAAGAGCUCGUAGGCGGCCAGUUGCGUCCGCUGUGAAAUCCUGGGGCUUAACCCCGGGCGUGCAGUGGAUACGGGCUGGCUAGAGGCAGGCAGGGGAGAACGGAAUUCCCGGUGUAGCGGUGAAAUGCGCAGAUAUCGGGAGGAGCACCGGUGGCGAAGGCGGUUCUCUGGGCCUGUACUGACGCUGAGGAGCGAAAGCGUGGGGAGCGAACAGG